GUGGGGAAUUUUGGACAAUGGGCGCAAGCCUGAUCCAGCAAUGCCGCGUGCAGGAAGAAGGCCUUCGGGUUGUAAACUGCUUUUGUACGGAACGAAAAGGCUCUGGUUAAUACCUGGGGCUCAUGACGGUACCGUAAGAAUAAGCACCGGCUAACUACGUGCCGGCAGCCGCGGUAAUACGUAGGGUGCAAGCGUUAAUCGGAAUUACUGGGCGUAAAGCGUGCGCAGGCGGUUUUGUAAGACAGACGUGAAAUCCCCGGGCUCAACCUGGGAAUGGCGCUUGUGACUGCAAGGCUGGAGUGCGGCAGAGGGGGAUGGAAUUCCGCGUGUAGCAGUGAAAUGCGUAGAUAUGCGGAGGAACACCGAUGGCGAAGGCAAUCCCCUGGGCCUGCACUGACGCUCAUGCACGAAAGCGUGGGGAGCAAACAGGAUUAGAAACCCUGGUAGUCC
rnacentral:rRNA from 1 species